GUAUAAGAGAGAGACCCAUUGAUACGAAUCUCAAUCAAUAGUCUCCAUCAUUUGUUUCCUCUCUCCUUCCUUUUUUUCCGUUCUGCCUUCUGCUAGCACCGGCAGGCUUUCUUGGCGGGACCUGGUGGUCUGUCCCAACCUGUUAUGGCGCAGGCAAGUGUUUAAAGUGGCGCCAUUUUGCUUGGCUCUUGCUGCCCCACGGGGUUCACCGUAGCUCCUCUUUUAGGGAGAAUCUAGAGUCCGGGUUGAUGAGUGGUCUUUAGGACAGCAUGUGGGUAGUCUGUGGCCACUCGGCGGUGACUGAAAAAUUGCCAGCUUUUGUAGCGGCGGGCAGGGAGCGAACCCGGGUCCCCGUGAACGCCGCGCCCAAAGACUAACCACUCAGCCACCGCCUCCCACAGCUGGUCAUAGUGUUGGCGUGUGUGUGGGUGACGGUGUCCGGCCUGGCUGUCACGCACCCCAAGCCGCCCUCGCUAGACCUCUCCGCCUUCGAUAUCAAGAACCUGCUAGAUAUAAGUCUGCCAGCCUUCGUGACCCAGACCCUCACCACGACUGUCAUUGAGACGGUAUCCACAGACGCCACAGAGUUCACCACCUGCGUCAGCUUCACUUCGACAUGCGCCACUCGAAGACAUCUCACCCAGCGCACCGAAAUCACUCCCUCCCUUCACCUUACCACAACCCUAGCCAACCCUAUUACCAACACCAUCCUUGAAAACUCACAUGAAGCGUCGCUCUCCCCAACCAUUCCUGAGGUGUGGGUGGGUUCCGAGGCGCCUGCUCUUGAUUCCUCACUCCCUGCCCCACCCUCAGUGUCCCAUAUACCUGAGGAGACACUAGCCAUGGACACUGAGUUAAUAGGAACAACAGAUACGGAUAUAGUUGGGCUGCUCUCUCCCUCUGCGACCAUCAGUGCUUCUUCCACCCCUCCGAGUGCUGUCUUUACUCAUGCACCUCUGCCUCCUUCUUCUUCUGGUCUUCUUCUGUCUUCCUCCUCCUCCUCUCCGAUACUCAGUGAAGCUAUUGCACGGACUCUUCUCUCACCUGCUUCUUCUUUCUCUGCUGCUCCUCCUCCUCUUCCAACUUCUUUCUCUGCUUCUCCCCUUCCUCCAGCUUCCUUCUCCUCUCCCUCUCGUCUUCCUCCUUCAGCCCCAUCUCCAGCAUCCUUCUCUCCCUCUCCUCUUCCUCCUUCAGCCCCAUCUCCAGCAUCCUUCUCUCCCUCUCCUCUUCCUCCAGCAUCCUUCUCUCCUCUCCUUCCUUCACUCCCCUCCCCAGCCUCCCCUCCUUCUCCUCCUCCUUCUCUCCCCCUUGCUCCACGCUCCCUACAAGCUCUCUCUCCUUCACCUCCAUCCCCUCCUUCCUAUCCUCUCUCCCCAUCUCCUUCCCCAGCUUCCCUCCCUUCCCCUACCCCUCCCCCAGCCUCCCUCCCAUCCCCAGCCCCAGCAGCCCCCCCCGCUAAAGAGGAGAUGCCCCAGGACGGAGACUUCAUCAUCCCUGCCUCGGCCGUCACCUUGGAGACAGAGGGCGGGCAGAGGGUCCACCGGCGCUGCUUUGAGGAAGGAGUUCAAGCCCGCCUCCUGACCCUCAUCACCACCACCGUCACCUCCACCGUCAUCACCGGCACCGUGACGCAGGGCAGCCCCACCCUCACCGUCACCUACAACUGUGUGCAGCCCGUCCUCGACCCGCCCAUCAACACGUGUUAGGCUCGCGCGAUGGACAUGGUGAAUACUUGUUUUGUUAGUCUCCUUUAAUGUAAGCUUUGCCACCAUGUAGAACUGUUAAUACUACUCUUGACCCUUCCCUUCUUCCCUACUUCCUUCCUUCCUCAGAGUUUAGACAGCGAAUAUAAAUAACGAUAAGUUAGACAUGUAUUUCCAAGCUUGCAUUUAGAGUGUAUCAAAUGUGUGUGAUUUUAAUGGUAUAGUUAUUGUUGUUAAUCCUUGUUGCUGAUCCAUCUGAAGACCAUGUUUGAGAAGGUAUACAUAUAAAUAAAUGAUUGUGGCUGCGAUGAAAAAAGGUUAAUGAGAAGAGAAACUAUCCUUCUUACUACUCCUUCAUUGUACUUGGCCAGACUAACUUGUAAGUUUAAGAACAUAUAAUACUAAGUGAAAAAGUGAAAUAAAUAAAGACAGUGAACAGAUGCAUGUCUUAACUGCUUGUGGGAAAAAAAAAAAAAAGCUUAGUGUAAAUACAUGGUCUGGUGAGCCAAGAAAAUUUGCGUCACCUCUCUCAGGGUAAAAUAAAACUAGAAAAGUUUGCAUUUUAAGUUGAAUAAUCUUCCUGCAUUCACAUCCCUGACUCCCUCCAUCAGCCCACAAAAGGAUGUUAGCCCUUUCAAUACAAGCUAAUCUUUCUUUGGUCAUUUUAGAUUUUCAAAGAUUAAGUUGUGUUGGUAAGUCAGUGUACGAAUUGCCCAAAUAUUUCAUAGCACAGGAGCAGAGACAGGAAUUGAAGAAGUAAAGGAAGGAAGGAAGGAAAGGAGGGAGAUGGAUAUGGAGUGAAAGGAUAAUUAGAUGUUUAUUUCUCUUUAAU